rnacentral:rRNA from 1 species
AAUCUUCCACAAUGGACGGAGGUCUGAUGGAGCAACGCCGCGUGAGCGAAGAAGGUUUUCGGAUCGUAAAGCUCUGUUGUAAGGGAAGAACACGUACGGGAGUCACUGCCCGUACCUUGACGGUACCUUAUCAGAAAGCCACGGCUAACUACGUGCCAGCAGCCGCGGUAAUACGUAGGUGGCAAGCGUUGUCCGGAAUUAUUGGGCGUAAAGCGGGCGCAGGGGGUCCUUUAAGGCUGAAGGGAAAGCCCAAGGCUCAACCCUGGAGGGUCAAUGGAAACCGGAGGACUUGAGUAAAGAAGAAGAAAGGGGAAAUCCAAGGGGAGCGGGGAAAUGCGUAGAGAUGGGGAGGAACCCCAGUUGCGAAGGCGGCUUUCUGGGCUGUAACUGACGCUGAGGCGCGAAAGCGGGGGGAGCAAAC